UACAGAGGGUGCAAGCGUUGUUCGGAAUUACUGGGCGUAAAGCGCGUGUAGGCGGCUUUGCAAGUCGGGUGUGAAAGCCCUCAGCUCAACUGAGGAAGGGCGCCCGAAACUGCAGAGCUUGAGUGCCGGAGAGGGUGGCGGAAUUCCCCAAGUAGAGGUGAAAUUCGUAGAUAUGGGGAGGAACACCGGUGGCGAAGGCGGCCACCUGGACGGUAACUGACGCUGAGACGCGAAAGCGUGGGGAGCAAACAGG
rnacentral:rRNA from 1 species